AGAGUUUGAUCCUGGCUCAGAUUGAACGCUGGCGGUAUGCUUAACACAUGCAAGUCGAACGAGAGUUUUGAACUCGGUGGGCGGACGGUGGAGUAACGCUGAAUAAUUUGCGUUUAUCAGGCGGACAACGAUUGAAAACUAUUGCUAAUACCCCAUAUGCUUUUUCACUGAAAUGGAUUUUUCCGCCUAAAGAGAAGCUUGCGGCUGAUUAGCUUGAUGGUAAAGUUAUGGCUUACAUGGGCUACCAUCGCUAUCUGGUUUGACAGGACUAUCAGAAACACUGGAACUGAGACACCGGCCACACUCCCCCGAGAGGCACCGGUGGGGAAUUUUCCGCAAUGGGCAAAAGCCUGACGGAGCUGUUCCGCGUGAGGGAUGACGGCCUAUGGGUUGUAAACCUCUUUUUUCUGGGAGGAAGGAUGACGUGUACCUGACCAAUAAACAUCGCCUAACUCCGUGCCAUGCCCCCCGCCAAGACAGAAGAUGCGGGUGUUAUCCGGAAUCACUGUACGGAAAGCGUCUGUCGGUGGUUUAAUAACUCAACUGUUAAAUCUUGACCCUCAACUUCACAAUCGAAUUGCAUACUAUUCUACUAGAGCUAUAGUAUGGGUAAAGGGAAUUUCCUUUGGAGCGGAGAAAUGCGUAGAGAUUGUAUAGAACACCGAUGGCGAGGGCACUUUACUGACCUAUGACUAUACUGACGAUACGAUGCUAGGCUAGCAAAGCAGAUUAGAUACCCCACUAGUCCUAGCCAUACCAAUGCAUACUAGAUGAUGAACAGAUCGACCUGUGCAGUAUAAAGCUAACGCGACACGUAUACCUUCCUGGCAAGGAUGCUCGUAAGAGUGAGCUCAAACGGAAUUGAAGUGGACGCGCACCAGCAGAGCAGCAUGGAGGAUGUAGUUCGAUGUCAACUGCGAACGACCAUUACAUGGCUUGCUCAUGAUCCUCAUUUCACUGUUACAAAGAAAUGUGACGCUUGCCACCGGAUACCCAUGGUGGACUGCAUGGCUCGUAUUCGCUCAGCUUCAGUCUUGGGAACUCUGGUGGAGAGUUAAGGUGUUCUCAGCGAUUCCCGCGUGUG
rnacentral:rRNA from 1 species